UCCAAAUCAAACAGUACUAAGCAGUCAUAUCACCGAUGGUUGGUUGAUCAGUUAGCUAACAUUCUCAUGAAGUUGAGCUAGCGCGUGUCUAGCUACCACCGUAGACCGCAAGCUCGCACGUUGAAACCUGUUGUCUACUCGCCUACUUUUUGUUGUUUUUCAAUUUUUUAAUAGCAAUAGUUGUCCUUACUGUUUACAUAUAUAUACAUAAUCCAUUCUCAUGAAUUUUAACAUCGCUUCAACUCACUUUAACAUGUCUACUCUCAUCUUCUACUCUAUAGCUUUCGCCACCUUCCUUUACUUUCUGCUCCACCUUCGCCAACUCUUCCUCCACCGUGCCUCCCGUCCUCUUCCACCAGGCCCAAAGCCAUGGCCUCUCCUUGGAAACUUGCCUCAUUUGGGCCCUAAACCCCACCACUCCUUAGCUGACUUGGCUCGAAUCUAUGGGCCUCUCAUGCACCUUCGAAUGGGCUUCGUGGAUGUUGUGGUGGCGGCUUCUGCCUCCGUCGCAGCCCAAUUCUUGAAGGUUCAUGACGCGAACUUCUCAAACCGGCCGCCGAAUUCCGGUGCAAAAUAUGUUGCUUAUAAUUACCAAGACCUUGUGUUUGCACCCUAUGGUCCUCGGUGGCGCAUGCUUAGGAAGAUCAGCUCUGUCCAUCUCUUCUCCGGCAAGGCCUUGGAUGAUUUUAGACAUGUUAGACAGGAAGAAGUGGCAGCGCUCACUAGAGCACUGGCGAGAGCGAGCCCAACAGAAGCAGUAAACUUGGGACAACUGCUUAACGUAUGCACCACCAAUACCAUUGGACGAGUGAUGCUAGGCAGAAGAGUGGUCGGUGACGGUAGCGGUGGUCGUGAUCAAAAGGCAGUCGACUUCCAAUCGAUGGUUAGGGAGUUGAUGGUGUUGUCGGGAGUUUUCAAUAUCAGUGACUUUGUUCCAGCAUUGGAGUGGCUGGACUUACAAGGGGUGGCAGCCAAAAUGAAGAAGCUCCAUCGCAGAUUUGAUGCUUUCUUGACAGAGAUUGUGGAGGACCACAAGAUUAAUGGUUUUAAUGGUGCUGAAAUGCACAACAUGUUGAGCACGUUAAUUUCGUUGAAAGAAGAAGGUGAUAGUGAUGGUCUGAAACCUACUGAUACUGAAAUCAAAGCGUUACUUUUGAACAUGUUUACAGCAGGCACCGAUACGUCUGCCAGCACAGUGGAAUGGGCUAUUGCUGAACUCAUUCGGCACCCACGUGUCCUGGCCAAAGUCCAACAAGAGCUCGACUCUGUUAUCGGCCGAGAACGUCUCGUUACCGAAUCUGACCUAGCCCAACUCACCUAUCUCCAAGCAAUAGUCAAAGAAACUUUCCGGCUUCACCCAGCAACGCCAUUAUCUCUUCCACGGAUUGCAGCCAAUAGUUGUGAAAUAAACGGCUACCACAUUCCCAAGAACUCAACUCUUUUGGUGAACAUCUGGGCGAUAGCCCGAGAUCCAACUAUAUGGGCCGACCCACUAAAGUUUAAGCCCGAAAGAUUUCUGGCCGGAGGAGAAAAUGCAGGUGUUGACGUGAAGGGAAAUGAUUUUGAGCUUAUAACGUUUGGUGCAGGACGUAGAAUAUGUGCAGGAAUAAGCAUGGCUUUGCGCAUGGUUCAUCUGUUGGUGGGAACUCUAGUGCAUGCAUUUGAAUGGGAUUUGGCAGAUGGGUUGAAGCCUGCAGAUUUGAACAUGGAAGAAGCUUAUGGACUAACCUUACAACGUUCUCAGCCCUUGACGGUGCACCCAAAUCCUAGGUUGUCCUCGGAUGCUUACGGUGUUUAGUUUCUAUUUAUUUUUCAUUUGUUGUCAAUUUAAAAUAUAAAAUAUAGGAUGAGAUCAAUAGAUAGAUCUCAUCUGAUGCAUCUUGGAUCCAUGAUAGAUGGAUUGAAAGCUCAAUAAAUUGAGGUGUUUAAUAAAUUCAAUUUAAUAUAUACUAUCA
rnacentral:misc_RNA from 1 species